UUUGUUGGAGGGUAAAAUUUUUCUAAGGCUAAAAAACGGCGAGAGACCGAUAGCGAACAAGUACCGUGAGGGAAAGAUGAAAAGAACUUUGAAAAAAGAGUUAAACCGUACGUGAAAUUGUUGAAAGGGAAACGAUUGAAGCCCGUUGUACCUUGGGGUAAUCACCCUUUCGGGUGCGAUUCUGUGGAGUUUGAGGAGCUUAACACCUUCAUGCUUUGCAUAUUCGUGCUCUUGGGUGUACUUGCCCGUGUGGUUGGUUAAACAUCCCAAUCGGGCACCAUAAAAGAGCGGGAGGAAUGUACCUUUCAUAAA
rnacentral:rRNA from 1 species